rnacentral:tRNA from 1 species
GCCUGGGUGGCUUAUUUGGUUAAGCAUCUGCCUUUGGCUCAGGUCAUGAUCCCAGAGCUGUGGGAUCAAGUCCCACAUCAGGCU